CAGGCCUAACACAUGCAAGUCGAACGCUAUCGCAAGAUAGAGUGGCGCACGGGUGAGUAACGCGUGGGAAUCUGCCCUUUUGUCUGGGACAACAGCUGGAAACGGCUGCUAAUACCGGAUACGCCCUUCGGGGGAAAGGUCCGCCGCAGAAGGAGGAGCCCGCGUCUGAUUAGCUUGUUGGUAGGGUAAUGGCCUACCAAGGCAACGAUCAGUAGCUGGUCUGAGAGGAUGAUCAGCCACACUGGGACUGAGACACGGCCCAGACUCCUACGGGAGGCAGCAGUGGGGAAUAUUGGACAAUGGGGGCAACCCUGAUCCAGCAAUGCCGCGUGUGUGAUGAAGGCCUUAGGGUUGUAAAGCACUUUCACUGGUGAAGAUGAUGACGGUAACCAGAGAAGAAGCCCCGGCUAACUUCGUGCCAGCAGCCGCGGUAAUACGAAGGGGGCAAGCGUUGUUCGGAAUUACUGGGCGUAAAGGGAGCGCAGGCGGUUCAUUCAGUUAGGCGUGAAAGCCCCGGGCUCAACCUGGGAACUGCGCUUAAUACUGAUGGACUAGAAAUCAGAAGAGGAUAGUGGAAUUCCCAGUGUAGAGGUGAAAUUCGUAGAUAUUGGGAAGAACACCGGUGGCGAAAGCGGCUAUCUGGUCUGAA
rnacentral:rRNA from 1 species